GGCUGUAAUGGCUCAACUGGGAAAGCUCUCGUCCUUUUCUCGUCUUGCAACCGCACCAAACACCGUCAGAUCCCCCUCUGCUGGCGCCCAGCCCGAACGCUGCGGUGGCCGCCCGCUCGCAUGGGCAACCUGCGACCGCCGGUACACAGGCAGUUUACGCUGCCCGCGGCCCUCAGCACUGGAGAUGACCCUUGAGGGAGGUUUCACUCUGCAGAGAACUCUCCCCCGUCGCGUGGCGGGCUGGAUCACGACCCGGAGGGGAAUUUUGGGCUGGUUGUGUGAGAAAGAGAAUUCAACCAAUUUCUU
rfam:Cordyceps confragosa RCEF 1005 scaffold_6, whole genome shotgun sequence.